rnacentral:misc_RNA from 1 species
AAGUCGUAACAAGGUUUCCGUAGGUGAACCUGCGGAAGGAUCAUUAACACGUGAAAACGUAUUAAUUUACCUUAACAACACCCUGUGAAUUCCAUUCCUGUCGGUUAACACUGGUUCAUACAAUGUAGUAGGAUAUGAUAAUCUUUUAUUAGAAAGUCAUAUGUUGUAUGAAUUCUGGGGCUUCGAGCCUAAAGGUGUUAGCUUUCAGGAUUUCUUUUUUCCCUACUACAUAAACCAUACCAACCUUUUUCACCAAUUAAACCAAUAUGACUGAUGUACGUUGAUAGUACAGAAAUGUACUGGAUCAACACCAUUUAUCUAAACUAAGCACAACUCUUAGCAAUGGAUAUCUUGGUUCUC